UGCACUACUUCUGACCAGAGCCCUAUAGAACCAUAUUCCCUAUAUAGUGCACUACUUCUGACCCUAUGGGCUCUGGCCAAAAGCGGUGUAAUAAAUAUAUAUAUAUGUGUGCCAUUUGGGACUUGACCCCUGGGGUAAAUACAUGUUUGUGCUGAGUUGUUCAAGGCCCUGGAAUGUGAUGAGGUGUUGUGCCCCCCCCCCCCCCUCCCCCGGUGUGUCUGUGGUGGGAUUUGCAUGGUGUUUCUAUUGCCUUACCUACUGUCACGAAGUAUCCCUUUGCCAAACACCUGGUAGUACACAGGAUGGGGGGGGGGGGGGGUGGAGGAAGAGGGUAGGCUGGGGAGAGGGUCGUAAUUUAGGUUUUUAGAAAAUCUAACAAUCUAUAAGAAUUUCAUGUCCCAUUGAGAAGAGAAAAAGUACAGGGGGCAGAGUUUAUCACAUAUCAGUGGUGGUGAGGUAAUACCAUCUAUCAUCUAGUUGGCGGUGAGGUAAUACCAUCUAUCAUCUAGUUGGCGGUGAGGUAAUACCAUCUAUCAUCUAGUUGGCCGGUGAGGUAAUACCAUCUAUCAUCUAGUUGGCGGUGAGGUAAUACCAUCUAUCAUCUAGUUGGCGGUGAGGUAAUACCAUCUAUCAUCUAGUUGGUAGGUGAGGUAAUACCAUCUAUCAUCUAGUUGGCGGUGAGGUAAUACCAUCUAUCAUCUAGUUGGCGGUGAGGUAAUACCAUCUAUCAUCUAGUUGGCGGUGAGGUAAUACCAUCUAUCAUCUAGUUGGCGGUGAGGUAAUACCAUCUAUCAUCUAGUUGGCGGUGAGGUAAUACCAUCUAUCAUCUAGUUGGCGGUGAGGUAAUACCAUCUAUCAUCUAGUUGGCGGUGAGGUAAUACCAUCUAUCAUCUAGUUGGCGGUGAGGUAAUACCAUCUAUCAUCUAGUUGGCGGUGAGGUAAUACCAUCUAUCAUCUAGUUGGUAGGUGAGGUAAUACCAUCUAUCAUCUAGUUGGUAGGUGAGGUAAUACCAUCUAUCAUCUAGUUGGCGGUGAGGUAAUACCAUCUAUCAUCUAGUUGGCGGUGAGGUAAUACCAUCUAUCAUCUAGUUGGCGGUGAGGUAAUACCAUCUAUCAUCUAGUUGGCGGUGAGGUAAUACCAUCUAUCAUCUAGUUGGCGGUGAGGUAAUACCAUCUAUCAUCUAGUUGGCGGUGAGGUAAUACCAUCUAUCAUCUAGUUGGCGGUGAGGUAAUACCAUCUAUCAUCUAGUUGGCGGUGAGGUAAUACCAUCUAUCAUCUAGUUGGCGGUGAGGUAAUACCAUCUAUCAUCUAGUUGGCGGUGAGGUAAUACCAUCUAUCAUCUAGUUGGCGGUGAGGUAAUACCAUCUAUCAUCUAGUUGGUAGGUGAGGUAAUACCAUCUAUCAUCUAGUUGGCGGUGAGGUAAUACCAUCUAUCAUCUAGUUGGCGGUGAGGUAAUACCAUCUAUCAUCUAGUUGGCGGUGAGGUAAUACCAUCUAUCCAUCUAGUUGGCGGUGAGGUAAUACCAUCUAUCAUCUAGUUGGCGGUGAGGUAAUACCAUCUAUUUGAGGUAAGUUACUACAACUCUGCCGUGUUUAAAAGAAAUGGGAAUGAGAACUUGUAACGUUGCAUGGGUCAUUGUGAUGGGGAGAAGUACUAGGUAUCAUUGUGAUGGGGAGAAGUACUAAGUAUCAUUGUGAUGGGGAGAAGUACUAGGUAUCAUUGUGAUGGGGAGAAGUACUAGGUAUCAUUGUGAUGGGGAGAAGUACUAGGUAUCAUUGUGAUGGGGAGAAGUACUAGGUAUCGUUGUGAUGGGGAGAAGUACUAGGUAUCGUUGUGAUGGGGAGAAGUACUAGGUAUCGUUGUGAUGGGGAGAAGUACUAGGUAUCGUUGUGAUGGGGAGAAGUACUAGGUAUCAUUGUGAUGGGGAGAAGUACUAGGUAUCAUUGUGAUGGGGAGAAGUACUAGGUAUCAUUGUGAUGGGGAGAAGUACUAGGUAUCAUUGUGAUGGGGAGAAGUACUAGGUAUCGUUGUGAUGGGGAGAAGUACUAGGUAUCGUUGUGAUGGGGAGAAGUACUAGGUAUCGUUGUGAUGGGGAGAAGUACUAGGUAUCGUUGUGAUGGGGAGAAGUACUAGGUAUCGUUGUGAUGGGGAGAAGUACUAGGUAUCGUUGUGAUGGGGAGAAGUACUAGGUAUCGUUGUGAUGGGGAGAAGUACUAGGUAUCGUUGUGAUGGGGAGAAGUACUAGGUAUCGUUGUGAUGGGGAUAAGUACUAGGUAUCAUGGUGAUGGGGAUAAGUACUAGGUAUCAUGGUGAUGGGGAAAAGUACUAGGUGUCAUGGUUAUGAGGAUAUGUACUAGGUAUUGAUGUGUAUUAUUCUAGAGAGCCUCUGACCAGAGGUAGAGGCCACUGGUUUUGACACCUAGGGAGCCUCUGACCAGAGGUAGAGGCCACUGGUUUUGACACCUAGGGAGCCUCUGACCAGAGGUAGAGGCCACUGGUUUUGACACCUAGGGAGCCUCUGACCAGAGGUAGAGGCCACUCGUUUUGACAGGAGCCACGUAGAGAACCUCUAUAUCGGACAGCGUGUCAUUUUGAAAUGAAAAUGUAGAUCUAACGACAACCGGGGUUUGGCAAGGGAUACGUCUAUUCAUUUAGACCGUGACGAACCUAACCGUGGAAAUUCUAGUAAAGAUGUAUUUGCACACACACUUCAUACAUACAACACCAGAACACAGAACACAGAACACAGAACACAGAACACAGAACACAGAACACAGAACACAGAACACAGAACACAGUACACAGAACACAGAACACAGAACACA